rnacentral:rRNA from 1 species
UACAGAGGCCUCGAGCGUUAGGCGGAAUCACUGGGCUUAAAGGGUGCGUAGGCUGCGCAGCAAGUUGGGUGUGAAAUCCCUCGGCUUAACCGAGGAACUGCGCCCAAAACUGCUGUGCUCGAGGGAGAUAGAGGUGAGCGGAACUUAGGGUGGAGCGGUGAAAUGCGUUGAUAUCCUAAGGAACACCGGUGGCGAAAGCGGCUCACUGGAUCUCUUCUGACGCUGAGGCACGAAAGCUAGGGUAGCGAACGGG